GGGCCGCUCGGGGCCAGGAUGAGUUUAUUAUGAAGAGUAAUGGGGUGGAGUCGUAGCGGUCACCAUGGCUCACCACGUGGAGUCUGUUGCGGAAAGUGGAGCGACGUGGGAUCCAUCACAGGAAGUGGAGCAGAGUCGUGGCCGUUACUGAAGCCUGCCAGGGAGUGAUGGAGCCACACGGAAUCCAUCGCAGGAGGUGGAGCAGAGUCGUGGCCGUUACUGAAGCCUGCCAAGGAGUGUUGGAGCCGCAAGAAAUCCAUCGC
rnacentral:lncRNA from 1 species